rfam:Salmo salar isolate Sally breed double haploid chromosome ssa13, whole genome shotgun sequence.
GGUUCUGUGGCUUAGUUGGUUAAAGCACCUGUCUGGCAAACAGGAGUUCCUGAGUUCAAAUCACAGCAGAACCU